rfam:Enterovibrio pacificus strain CAIM 1920 contig067, whole genome shotgun sequence.
GUGGUUAUGCCGCUGCGUAUCCUAAACGGGCUCUGCAGCGGUUCUUCUUGAAAAGUACUAGGAGUGAAUAGUGGCCCGUAUAGCAGGCAUUAACAUUCCUGAU